rnacentral:rRNA from 1 species
GUAGGUGGCAAGCGUUGUCCGGAAUUAUUGGGGCGUAAAGCGCGCGCAGGCGGUUCUUUAAGUCUGAUGUGAAAGCCCGCGGGCUCAACCGUGGAGGGUCAUUGGAAACUGGAGAACUUGAGUACAGAAGAGGAAAGCGGAAUUCCACGUGUAGCGGUGAAAUGCGUAGAGAUGUGGAGGAACACCAGUGGCGAAGGCGGCUUUCUGGUCUGUAACUGACGCUGAGGCGCGAAAGCGUGGGGAGCAAACAGGAUUAGAUACCCUGGUAGUCCACGCCGUAAACGAUGAGUGCUAAGUGUUAGGGGGUUUCCGCCCCUUAGUGCUGCAGCUAACGCAUUAAGCACUCCGCCUGGGGAGUACGGCCGCAAAGGCUG